UCCUGCCUCGCGAAAAGUGGUCCUUGUGACCGCCUGCCCCCUUCCAUUGAAGGAUAUGGGCUAGCGAGGUGGGUUAUU
ncrna:unclassified sequences DTF3800-IX RNA